UCGGGUAAGUCUUAUACGACCAGCUCCCUCUGAAAUCCCCCAGGACAGGAAUGUAGCAAGGGUAGGCGGUGCGAUAUGAGUAGCUUACCCU
rnacentral:SRP_RNA from 1 species